rnacentral:rRNA from 1 species
AGCGAACGCUGGCGGCAGGCCUAACACAUGCAAGUCGAACGAACCUUUCGGGGUUAGUGGCGGACGGGUGAGUAACACGUGGGAACGUGCCUUUAGGUUCGGAAUAACUCAGGGAAACUUGUGCUAAUACCGAAUGUGCCCUUCGGGGGAAAGAUUAAUCGCCUUUAGAGCGGCCCGCGUCUGAUUAGCUAGUUGGUUGAGGUAAUGGCUCACCAAGGCGACGAUCAGUAGCUGGUCUGAGCGGAUGAUCAGCCACAUUGGGACUGAGACACGGCCCAAACUGCUACGGGAGGCAGCAGUGGGGAAUCUUGCGCAAUGGGCGAAAGCCUGACGCAGCCAUGCCGCGUGAAUGAUGAAGGUCUUAGGAUUGUAAAAUUCUUUCACCGGGGACGAUAAUGACGGUACCCGGAGAAGAAGCCCCGGCUAACUUCGUG